GUGGAUGCGUAGCCGCGGUGAUGGCUACUGACAUGAUCAGACCUCACAGAGUCUGAGCACUUGGAAUCAAAACCCUACAGUCAGAUUGCAUUUGGCAUUUGAUGUUUCAUGGGUGUUCCCAAGGCGUGGCCAGCUCAUGGUUACUUGGUGUUAAUGUGCACAAUGUUUAAUGAUAGAUUAUAAAAAGAUGGAAAAACCCAACAUUGUCACUAUGAUUAUCAACAAAUCAUGU